rnacentral:tRNA from 11 species
UGGGGAAUGGUGUAAUGGUAACACAGCGGUUUUUGGUACCGUCAUUCUAGGUUCGAGUCCUAGUUCCCCAGCCA